GUGAGGUAGACGGGUAUAGGAGGGCUCCCCGGUGAGGUAGACGGGUAUAGGAGGGCUCCCCGGUGAGGUAGACGGGUAUAGGAGGGCUCCCCGGUGAGGUAGACGGGUAUAGGAGGGCUCCCCGGUGAAGUAGACGGGUAUAGGCAGAGAGAGACAUGUAACAACACACACUCAUUACUACUGUACUCUAGACAAACACCCAGUUACGAAUAAAGAGACACACACACACACACACAGUUUCGCCAUUACCAUUAACCACUUCUCCUGGUGUCAUUAAUUUCCGGUCUGACCCCUGACCUGUGAUC